AAGAAGCUAGUUUUGUGGAAAUAUAAAACUCUUUUGCAGCAAUCCCAGCGUGCCAAAUUCUUAAAGCUUUACCAGUGAAGAUUAUGAAAGCUGCAAGAUAAUUUCCUGACGCGACUGUUUGUAAUGGUAAGGUGAAAGAAUGGUUAUCUUGAAGAAGACCUAUUGUCAACCAAUGCAUGCAUUGUUGUAAACUUUCCAG
rnacentral:lncRNA from 1 species